ensembl:lncRNA
UUUUUUUUUUUUUUUUUUUCCUUUUUGGCCACUCCACAGCAUAUGGAGUUCCUGGGCCAGUGAUCAAAUCCAAGCCUCAGUUGCAACCUAUGCUGCAGCUGCAGAAAGGCUGGAUCUUUUAAUCCAAUGUGGGGGGCUAGGGAUGGAAUGUGUGCCCUGGCACUGCAGAGAUACCACUGAUCCUGCACCAAAGCAGGAACUCUCUUAUGUGCUAUUCUUUUGUGAAUUUUCUAUUGCUCAUCCUAUCAUGUCUCUAAUAUAUAUAUAUAAAUAAAAAUAUUUUUAUUACCAUGAAGUGCUAUGUGUUAAAAAUUCUUUGGGAUUGAGUUAUCAUUACAAUUAUUAGCAAACAAUUCAUAAAAACAAUAUAGGUAUAUUAUAAAUCUUGAUCAAAUCAAAUCUUGAAGAGUAAAAUUUGUUGGGGCUGCAUCUCUAAAUGAGAUGGAUGGAGGGGCAUGUAUUUAUGAAAAUUUGAUAAGAGGAAUUAUCUAAUUGACCCUUUUUUCGGCAUCCUGGAAAUUUUUUUCUUCUUUUUUUGGUCUCUUUAGGACUGCACCCGUGGCAUAUGGAGGUGUGGCCCUAAAAAGACAAAAAAAAAAAAAAAAUGCUUCCACUAUACUUAAAUAGGCUAGGAUCCUCUAAAGCAUACUUUAAAGUUAUUUAUAAUCAAAUAGCUAAAUUUCCUUCAUUACCUUUAAAAGUAUAAUCCUAACUCUGGUCUUAAUGUUUCCCUAUGCUGAAUAUGGCAAAAUGCCUUAAUGUAUAUUAAGAUCCACUAUUACAUAUCUUUUAGCAGGCAAUGCUACUUUUCAAUUCUGUGAUUUUAUAAUUUAGCAUGUAUAAUUUGCAUAUACUGAUCAUAUUAUAUCUUUUUAAAAAGCAGGGGCCUGAUAAACUUUCCAAAGGUAUAUAACACAGAUUAAGUGCCAGCACACCCUUAUGUGACAGUAGAAUAAUCAGUUUGGAGCUUGAUCAUGAAAGGGUGAAUUACUCUUUCCACGUUAAAGUUAGCCUAUUCAUUUCUUUCUAAGUCAGGCUUAGUGGAAAGAACUGUUUCUUCUCUUUCCCAAAUUAUGUAGAAUGAUUGAUUACAUCUUCUAGUCUCUACCAAGAACUACAUGUCACUCCCAGACCCCUAGCCACUGACAAAAAGACACAUAUAUCCCACUAAUCCACUGCCAUGUAGUUGGAGGUAAGGUGACAGAUGGCAUAGGCAUCACAGCAGUUGAGGAUGACUCUUGGAAGCACUUCUGGAGCAAGGUCAAGGUCAAAACACAGAGGCCAGAACCUACUGCACGGAUUCCUAGAGAAGUGCUGUACCACAUGGCUUUUUACGACAUUUGCUUUAAAUUUCUACUGCUGGAUGAAGUUAUUUGGUUGCUUGUUUAUAUCUGAGUAUUUAAUCUUUUCUCCCCGGCUACCUAAAAACAUAAAACUCACAGGUUACUUCUGAAUCCACAGCACAUUCUAACAUAAAUAAUAAAUUUCCAGACCAAAAGUUGUAUAGGGCUCAACAUUUCACACCUAAACUUAAACAGUGUUACCCACCAGAACUCAGAAACUGUAACUCAGAAAAAUGCAAGCCAGAGGCACAGUUAUCAUUUGCUUCUUUCUGAGUGUGACUCCAUGGAUGUCACCUUCGAAAAGUUACGUGAACUGGUAGAACACC